AUUUUGUCACUUGUUAAUAGAUAUAUUGUAAAUAAUUUAUUUUCACAUACAUGAACAAACAAUGAUUAUGUCUUAGUUCAAGUUGUUCUUGUUCUCCACUUAUUUUUUCUUCAAUGCCAAAUAGGCUUUGAAAGUGCAUUUUCAUAAUAAGCUAAGAUAAAAUUACUUCUGCGACCAAUUCUGGGUCUCAUGCAAUAACAUAUGGGAAAAUAAAAACAUGUAAGUUCCACUAGCUUUGUUCUUUAAAACAAAUAUAUACAUGGUGUGGAUGCCACAAUCAGGGUUCAAACAUUGGACCUCUUCUAAGUUGAGAGGGAUACCAAGCAGCCUUAGCUGGUUGGUAUUAUCCGCCCUAGAUUUUAGAUCAACAGUAAUGCUAUUAUUUUUAAUUCUUGAUUAUUCCAGUGGCAAUGUUGCGGUCCGUGGGAAUUUUCUAUCUAGAGAGUUUACGAACGGACGGAAGCGGGCCCAAUCGGCUCCCUCUAAAAGGUCUUAGUAGUGGGAAACUUUCGCUGACCAUAGGCUGUCGCGGAUAACGGUUCUCGCCGUCUAAACACGGUUUUAGUUUACGAGUGAUGCAGCAGGGAGAAAUGCUCCAUGCCAUACAAGUGGUCAAAUUCACUGGGUUGGUGUCCACCAUCCGAGAACAGAAAAGG
rnacentral:lncRNA from 1 species